GGGGGUGUAGCUCAGUUGGGAGAGCGCCUGCCUUGCAAGCAGGAGGUCAGGAGUUCGACUCUCCUCAUCUCCACCA
rnacentral:tRNA from 1 species